UUGUCGAACCCUGCAAAGCAGAACGACCCGCGAACGCGUUCAAAACACGGGGGCCUCGGCCCCCCCCGCGAGGGGCGCGAGCCCCGAGCACAAACGAACCCCGGCGCGGAAAGCGCCAAGGAAAACUAAAAACGAGGGCCUCCCUCUCCCCGUACCGUCCGCGGUGCGCGGGGCGAGGCGGCGGCUCCUUUCGAAACACAAACAACUCUCGGCAACGGAUAUCUCGGCUCUCGCAUCGAUGAAGAACGUAGCGAAAUGCGAUACUUGGUGUGAAUUGCAGAAUCCCGUGAACCAUCAAGUCUUUGAACGCAAGUUGCGCCCGAAGCCGUCAGGCCGAGGGCACGUCUGCCUGGGCGUCACGCAUCGCGUCGCCCCCCCACCCAGCGUGCUGGGGGCGGAUGUUGGCCUCCCGUGCUGCCCGGCGCGGCUGGCCGAAACGCGAGUCCGGCACUGCGGACGUCACGACAAGUGGUGGUUGGAGACUUCAACUCGCGUGCUGUCGUGCGAUCCCCCGCCGUGCGUCGGAAACUGAGGAGACCCUGACGCGCCCGUCUCCCCGAGGGAGCCGUGCGCUACGACCGCGACCCCAGGUCAGGCGGGAUUACCCGCUGAGUUUAACAAU
rnacentral:rRNA from 1 species